rnacentral:lncRNA from 1 species
CACAUUGUUACCUUAAAACAUGAGUAAAAUUGGUUGUUGUUUAAGAUAUGAGGUUGUACCUUACUCCUUGGAUGGUUGAUUAAGAAUUUUCCCUUCAAUAUCAAAAUUGCAUUCAAUACAUUUUAGAAGUGAUGAAAGACUAUUUCCUUAAAACAAUGAAAAAAGAGUGAAACACUUUAAUUCCUUAUGUUAUGUCCAAUGAUACUGUACCGCCCUGGUAGUCGGAAGUGAUGACGUGGCAUCAAGCUACAGUACAGGCGUGUUAACGAGAUGCCAGGUUGGCAGAAGGGAAGGAAGUCGGGGGGCUAGUGAAAUCGCCAGUUAUGAAGUUGGCGUGCUCCGAUCUCCAGUAUACCAGAACCGGCGGUCACCGGGUUAAAGAUGAAGUCGUCAGAUGUGAACUCAGGCGACCAAGUGAUUAGAGAUCGCCGGAGCAAGCACAUCGCCGAAGAUGAAGGUGGUGCAGAUUAUGAAGGCGGCCGACGAGACCACAGGGAAGGUGUACGAAGGCACCCUAACUCGCCAAUCCCAGUAGAGAUCGCACUCCAAGUUAGCUAUGCACUGGGCAGUACCAUGCAUAGGUAACUUAGCCAAAAGAGAGUCAGAAGCAGCGCCCAAGUCAAGGAGCCCCGAGGCCCGAUUAAGGGACAGAUUUUCGCAGAUUUCGUGGUCGAGCUCUCAUCUGAGGCGACGCGAGUUGAAGGGGACGAUUUCCGUUGGGUGCUCUCGGUGGAUGGAUCGUCGAACCAGCAGGGUAGCGGUGCUGGAGUCAUCUUGGAAGGACCCAACAGCGUGCUGAUCGAACAAUCUUUGAGGUUUUCCUUCAAAGCCAGCAACAAUCAAGCAGAAUAUGAGGCGCUGAUCGCCGGGAUUUUGCUGGCCAAAGAGAUGGGAGUCAGGGUGUUGAUGGCUAAGAGUGACUCGCUGCUAGUCACGGGGCAAGUAACAGGCGAGUUCCAGGCUAAAGAUCCACAAAUGGCGGCUUACCUAGAGUAUGUGCAGGAAUUGAAGAGUUCCUUUGCCUCCUUUGAAGUGGUGCAUGUGCCCAGAGAGCAGAAUGCCCGAGCUGACUUGCUAGCUAAGCUCGCCAGUUCAGGCAAGGGGGGUAGGCAGAGGACGGUGAUUCAAGAAACUCUGAAGACGCCGAGAGCAUUUGUAGCAGAUCACCUGGUUCUGCAGAUAAGCAGGUCGACGGAAAAAGCGGCAAGAAGUCACAGGUCUNNNNNNNNNNNNNNNNNNNNNNNNNNNNNNNNNNNNNNNNNNNNNNNNNNNNNNNNNNNNNNNNNNNNNNNNNNNNNNNNNNNNNNNNNNNNNNNNNNNNNNNNNNNNNNNNNNNNNNNNNNNNNNNNNNNNNNNNNNNNNNNNNNNNNNNNNNNNNNNNNNNNNNNNNNNNNNNNNNNNNNNNNNNNNNNNNNNNNNNNNNNNNNNNNNNNNNNNNNNNNNNNNNNNNNNNNNNNNNNNNNNNNNNNNNNNNNNNNNNNNNNNNNNNNNNNNNNNNNNNNNNNNNNNNNNNNNNNNNNNNNNNNNNNNNNNNNNNNNNNNNNNNNNNNNNNNNNNNNNNNNNNNNNNNNNNNCUACUGGCCAACGAUGAGAGAAGAUUGCAAGAGGUAUGCGCAGUGUUGCAAACAAUGCCAACAACACGCCGAUUGGCACAAGGCGCCUCCCGAGGAGUUGAAGUCGAUCUACAGCCCUUGGCCGUUUCAUACAUGGGGAAUCGACAUCCUGGGACCUUUCCCGCUGGCGAUCAGGCAGAUGAAGUACUUGGUGGUGGCGAUUGAGUAUUUCACCAAGUGGAUCGAAGCAGAACCAGUGGCCCAGAUCACCGCACACAAGAUCGAAGGUUUCGUGUGGAAGAACAUUGUGUGCCGGUUUGGUGUGCCCAAGCGCCUGGUGUCGGACAAUGGGACUCAGUUUGCAAGCCACCUGUUGAAGAAGCUGUGCGAAGGGGUGGGAAUUCAGCAAGUGUUUGCAUCCGUCGAGCACCCUCAGACAAAUGGCCAAGUAGAGUCAGCUAAUCGGGUGUUGCUAAGAGGUUUGAAGAGAAGGUUAGAGAAAGCCAAAGGAGGCUGGGCUGAGGAGGUACCCCGUAUAGUCUGGGCGUACCACACCACCGAGCAGUCAGGAACCCAUGAGACCCCGUUCAGCUUAGUCUAUGGGUGCGAUGCAAUGAUUCCAGUAGAGAAUCAGGAGAGCUCGCCGAGAUUUCAGAACUUCGUAGAGGAAGAAUCGAAUGAGGAGAGAAGGUUGAACCUGGAUCUACUGGAUGAGGUCAGGGAAGAGGCGAGAUUAAAAGCUGAAGCGGUGAAGAGAAGGAUUGAACGAAGAUAUAACUCGAAGGUGAUGCCGAGACAGUUCAGAGAGGGCGACCUGGUGAUGAGGAAAGCCCACCAGUAUGAGAUGGAGAAUAAGUUGUCGCCUAAGUGGACGGGACCGUUCAGAAUAACCGAGGCGCUCGGGAACGGCGCCUACCGCUUAGAGACAUUGGAAGGAGGGGCGAUUCCUCGCACUUGGAACGCCACGCACCUCAAGUUAUAUUACAGUUGAGAACUUUGUAAGUAAAGACAAACACGAAGUUAUAUUACAAUGUCUAUGUUAAAACAGUUUGAAGGGGGCACUCUUUUUUCCCUAAGGAGGGUUUUUAACGAGGCCACCCAAUAAAGAGGAGUUUUCGAAGUUUAAGUUGUUUUAGAUUGCAUGUUUGUUGUUUUCCGAAAGUUUUGAAGAAAGACCUUGUCACUUAUAUGUGAUUUAAGGCAAGUUAAAGAUAUGUUGCAUGCUUUCUAAAAGGUUUCUAAGUCCUCAUCGUCUUUCGGCGAUCGGAGGCACCAGUUAAAAGACCUCAACGCCCUCGCGCGUUCUGAGGCGAGAUAAAGACCUCCUCGCCGUCGAGCGAGUGCAGGCGAGGAAGAGUGAAAAGUCCUCAGUGUUUCUGGGGGUGAGAAGAUGUAACCCCUGGGGCAAUGUAGAGGCACCAGUGAAAAGUCCUCAGUGCUUCUGGGGGCGAGAAGAUGUAACCCCUGGGGCAAUGUAGAGGCACCAGCGAAAGUCCUCAGUGUUUCUGAGGGGGAGGAGAUGUAACCCCUGGGGCAAUGUAGAGGCACGAGUUAAAAGACCUUCUCGCCUAUGAGCGAGUUCAGGCGAGUUAAAAGACCUUCUCGCCUAUGAGCGAGUUCAGGCGAGUAAAAGACCUUCUCGCCUAUGAGCGAGUUCAGGCGAGUUAAAAACCUUCUCGCCUAUGAGCGAGUUCAGGCAAGAUAAAAUCCUUCUCGUCUCGAACGAGUUCAGGUAUGGUGUAAAGGGUGGAAGAAGUUUGAAGGGUGGCUAAGGUAGGUUCGAAGAGAGCGCUUAGCCACCCGGUCUUUUGUUCUGAAGCUCAAGGAGGUAGAGAAGGAUCCGAAAGGCGCCUCUACCCCCAGAUAAAGGAACAAUGGCCAAGGUAUGAAGCCAGAAAGAAGCUGAUAUCGCUAAGAGUCUUUGGCGACCAGGAAAAGUUCAAGCAGUUGCAAGAAAGUUAAAGACCCGUUUUGAUGAAGCAGGUCGGGUUAGUGGUGUCUUAAGCCAUUGGUUGAGUUAAAGUUCGUUGUUUGAAGAGUGAUUUUACGCUAAGGUUCAUUACCUUGAGAUUACAAGUUGUUAGAGUGAUUGUUAUUCGAAAGUCAGUGGUUCGAAGCAGUUAAGUACACGAUUGCGCUUACGAAAUCGCUAAGUUAAUUUCUUGAAGAAAAUUGUGCGAACAAAGAUAAAGCAGCCAAAGAAGUUACAAGAGAAAUACAAGGACUUUAUCAUCAAAGUAAAUAUCGGUUCGAGGCACAUGUACAGGAAAAUAUAAAGUUUAUUACAAUUAUAUGUAAGUAGAAAGCAUAAAGGUAGUGGAUGGAGGGAAUCGAUCAGUCUUCAGCAGGAACAACCUUCCCAUCCACCACCUCGUUGUUGAGAGACACCAUGCUGAGAUCUAGAUCGGGGAACAAGCAGGCAAACUGUUCCCGUGCGGCCUCGAAUCCAGCAGCAAGAAUUUGGGCAGAACUCAGAUUAAGUUCUUCGAUCUGUUUCUUAAGUUCUUCAAUUUGUUCCUUCAGUCCCUCGUUCUGCUGCUUCAGCUCUUCAGCUUGCUUCUUGAGUUCUUCGUUGGUUUCCUGAGCUUGAAGAAGGUUUUCAGCAACCUUCUUGGAUUCUGCCUGCACCUGGCCCAGUUCAGCGGCGAUCUUCCCUUUUUCUUCGUUGGCUUCGGCAAGUUUAGCCAUGGUGUCGUCUCUUUCUUUCUCCACCGUCCCCAGGAAGACCUCCCGAUCGGCUGACCUUUGUUCGAGCUUCUUUACCUUGGCGGCGUCAGCUUUGAUCAAGGCCUCCAGGUCAGCCACUUUGACGCGAUAAGGCACUAGCUUGCUCUCCAACUCAAUCUUCUCUUGAGCCAAGAGCUGUACCUUAUGGCGGAGAUCGGUGGCCUCCUUGCGUGCCACCCGGAGCUCGGUGCUCAUGGCAUCUUCUACUCGGGAGUGUUCGACCUCGGCGAGUGUAAGAUUGCAGGAUAACCUCUCCACCUCAAUCCUUAUGGUGUUGUUCUCAGUUCGGAGUGCGAAGAGGUCAUCCUGGAGCUUCCUAGUAGAACUCUCCACAGCUUUAGAUAUGAUGGAGGGGAAAUCCUCCACCAUCAUCUUCAGUUUCGCUGAGAAGGGCUCCCAUACCCUUUUUACCUCAAGAGAGAGGUUCGCUUGUGGAGGCGCAGGGGGGGCUUGUUGUUGGUUUUCGCCGCCACCUUCUUGAGUUGGUUGCUCAGUGAGUGCUUCUUGGCGUGGUGGCGACGUCGGGGAUUCAGUAAUAAGAAUUGGAGAGUGGUGAGCACCUUCAUCCCCGACUGGUGCAGCGUUUGCGGUUGAGGCGUUUGAAGGAGGACCCCCUCCAGCUGAUACAUAAGGCGUGGAGGCGCUCGGGGGAUUCUCCAUGAAGUUGGCUUCGGCGGCCUCAACCACAGGAGGCGCAGAUGCCAAUGGAAUCGCUUGGACUGGCGAGGCGGGAGCUGGUGGAGGAAGCAAUGUUGGAGGCGGAGCGGGUGUGGAUGGCGGUGUUGAUGUUGGAAGAGGGGGUGGAGCAGAUGGUGAAGAAGGCGCCACCCUCUUCCUCUUGGUGACAAGGCCAUCUUCCGUCGCCUCGUCGUCUUCUUCUUCCUCCUCAUGGACUACUCGGGGGGCUUUCCUCUUUGGUUUCCUGAGGAUAAGCUUUUGGCGUUGGUUGACGGGUUGGGCCUCAGAGGAAGUUGGGCCUUUGGGUGGCGAUCUGCCCUGAGCAGCGGCGAUCUCCACCACAGAGUUUGGCACGGUUUGGGAACUCGAUGCCAACCCAUGGGAUCGGGCGAGCGCCCUCAGUUCAGCGAGCUUUCCUUGGCCCAACAUACGAUCUGCAUAUUGCAAAGAUACAUGGGUUAGUUCAGAAGGAAGGGUAAACACAUAAGGCAGUAUGCAGCAAAAGCAGAUAAAUGGUGCAGAAAAUAAAACCAAAGUCUUGCGCACAACGCACAAGACGCCCAGAAACAGUUAACAGAGAUAAUGUCAAGGAAAUAACUUAAACGUUGAGGUGAGUUCUAACCUAUGCGAAUUUCGAGUUGAUCUUCGAAGAACUCGAAGCAGAUGAGCGUGGUGGUGAGGAAGGUGAUGUUGGCGUCUGCCACACUCUUCCAGAAGAAGCAUAGGUCCCUGUCCAAGGCACCCAUGCUAUCAGGACUCCUUGGCCUCCUGAAGCUGCUUUUGGACUCUUUGUUCCCCUUGUUUACCCAAUACAAGGGGAAACCGUCGAGCAGGGAAGCAUCCUUGUCAUUUGGGCGCACCUGGACGAACUUGCCCUUCCAGUCUUUGUAGGAUUGCUGGAAGAUAGAGAGGAUCGACCUCCCAGCAAUCCCGUUCAAGCUUACCCACAGGCGAUCUCCUGGGUGCUUGGCUUCGAAAAGAAAGAGGAAGACGUCCACUGACGCUGGCAGCCCCAAGUGGUCGCACAUUAUCUGGAAGGCUCGUACGAACGCCCAGCUGUUGGGAUGGAGCUGGGCGGCGGCGAUGUCGAGCUCGGUGAGAAGCUCCCUUUCAAAGCGAGUGAAGGGAAACCUAAGUUUCACCUUCUUGAACAGAGUGGUAUAUAUGAGGCAGAACAACCCGCCGGUGUUCCCUUAUCAUCAACGCACACCGGCAUGUCGGGAGAGCAAGGCAGCACCAUCAUCUUCUCGUCGUGCUCCUUGUGGAACGAUAGGUGAGGCUCGUCCCCCUUCUUCAAUCGCAGAACUGCCAGCAGAGUUUACAGAAGAUGUUUCCUUCAACAAAGUCGGGGUGGCCCAUGGGUACAGUUUUUUGAAAUCUGGAGAAGGCACGGAGGCUCCUCCGGCGACGGGUGGAGUGGCCUGAGCCAAGUUGGGGCGGGAGGGUGCAGGCCUCUCAGCCUGAGAAGAAGAAGCACCGCGUGCUCGCGGUGGGUUGUGUGCUUGUGAGGAGGGGUUUCGUGACGAAGGAGGAGGAUUUGGGGAGAUCUUUGAGCGAGUCAUUGCGGAAGCUGCAAAGGAAGAAGAAAAGAAAAGGUGAUCAGGACUCGCAGCGGCUGACUCGAUCAUGAACGAAGGGUGAAAAAACGAACGAACGAAGGUUCGUUGUAACGAAGACAAAGCCCUAAGUUACGAAGAAGGAGAAAUAGAAAAAACAACCCACAACGUAUGCACCAGACAGUUAAAGGAUGAUGCGAAUCGGUUAAAAUGCAGGAAAAACCAGCAGAAGAAGGAAAGGAAGUACCUUUUUAUGAUCGGAAGGGUGUUGGAGGAGGUUGGUGAUUCAGGAAGUUGAAGAACGUUGAGAGCUUUUGCAGAAGAGAGUUGGAGCGUCUGAGAAUACGAAGAAAGUGAUGGAACAGUGGAGCGAAAUGGGUUUAAGGGUUUUUCGAAAUGAGUUUGGGAAGCGCAAACGACAAUUGAAGGUAACCGUUGAUGAAGCCAUGUGUCGAGCGAUGGGAGGAGUGUUUGGUGGAGCGUCAGAGGAGCAGAAAGUACAACCGCUUGAAAUUCUGCGCCAGUGCCACGUAGAUCGGUAUUGACGUGACUCUUUUAGUCUUUUCGCUGGACAAGUCUUCGCUUAAGUCUUCGCUUGUGUACCGCCCUGGUAGUCGGAAGUGAUGACGUGGCAUCAAGCUACAGUACAGGCGUGUUGACGAGAUGCCAGGUUGGCAGAAGGGAAGGAAGUCGGGGGGCUAGUGAAAUCGCCAGUUAUGAAGUUGGCGUGCUCCGAUCUCCAGUAUACCAGAACCGGCGGUCACCGGGUUAAAGAUGAAGUCGCCAGAUGUGAACUCAGGCGACCAAGUGAUUAGAGAUCGCCGGAGCAAGCACAUCGCCGAAGAUGAAGGUGGUGCAGAUUAUGAAGGCGGCCGGCGAGACCACAGGGAAGGUGUACGAAGGCACCCUAACUCGCCAAUCCCAGUAGAGAUCGCACUCCAAGUUAGCUAUGCACUGGGCAGUACCAUGCAUAGGUAACUUAGCCAAAAGAGAGUCAGAAGCAGCGCCCAAGUCAAGGAGGCUCCAGAUGAUGGCACGUGUACGACUGGAUGCGAGCCACGUGUCCAGGUGCGUAACUGCCAGGAGAGAGAAAGUGACCAGGUAUAUAAGGGUUUCCCAACGAACUUCUGAGGUACGCACGUUCAGAUUGUAUUCUUUACGCUUGCGAGUUCUUGAGCAUACUGUGAGAGAGAACAUUGCACGGUUCCUUGAGAGUUCCUGAGUGUUACUCUUGUACUAUUUGGUGGUUCAGUCACUGACUUGGGCGUUGGAGUGCGAUCGGCCGCAGCGGCGCCGCUCUGUUCUUUUGCAGGUUCUUGAGGUGGAUCGUGACGAAGGACGGAGGUUGACGCGGUGCACACGUCGAUCCAAGUUUGACGAGGCAAGUUCCAACGUUUUGAUCAACAGGCAGGAUCAGAUACAAAUAAAUUUAGUAACGUGAUCCUCUACUGUUGACCAAAAUGCAUCUUUUACGAACCCAUAUCCCCUUAAUCGUUGAUCUAAAUUAAUUAAAGCUUUUAGUUCCAUGCAAAUAAUGUCCUGAAUUUGUUCAAUGUGCACCAAUUAUGACAUCAACUACUACCAAUGAUACUUUUUUUGUGGUAAGAACUUUGUUAUAAUGUUUUCCAUAGCACUCGACACAUGCAACAUAUAUUAUUCAUAAGAAACAAUACAAAGGAUCGUUAGGGCAACUACUUUUGGGACCAAGAUCUUUCUUUACACAAUACCAAAACUUGUUUUAAGAAUAUAGUAAUAGAUUCCUUUAACAAAUAAAAUAAUGAACUGAAGUGAUAGUAAUGAACCAACAACAACUAAUCAAAUUUGAACUAUGAACUGAAGCUUUUCAAUCUCAAACUUCCUCUUCACUUGUUUGUAAUCAACCUACACAUAAUAUUGCAUACUAUAAAUGGUUUAUUCAAUGUUUAAACUAACUUUCAUACAACAUAACAACCAUGUACACUCCAACCAAUGGAAACGAAAGUCACACAAAAAAAAAACAAGGCCAUAAUUGAUUAUGUGGGUAGCAUAACUGAUUAUCCUAUGAAAUUUUGAAGUGCCACUCAUAUAUUCGAUUAUGAAAAAGUUUCUUCUGAACAAGUUACCACAAAACACCAGGGUGACCAAUACCUUUCUUCACAUGAACACCACCACAAUUCACUUUACACAUCACCAACACCAACUCAAGUUGCACCGACCAUUGAACCAAAUUGCACUUCAUACACCACCACUUCAAGAAGAGAUGAAGAACGAAACCAACCACUACUCCAACUCAAAUGAGAACGAAGAAGAAAACCAUGAACCAAAGGAGCACCAAGGUCAUAUCAGUUAAUGUAUUUUUAAUGGAAAUUUCAAAUGCUUAGCAAUAAUCAAAUGAUUCCAUAAACCAUAAACGUUCAAGAAUAUAUAUGCAUGAAUGCUUGAAAAAUCUCUACAACGUUCAACCAUGCACAAUGAAAAAGGCAAGGGUAAUUUAGUCUUAUCCUCACACAUUAGUUGUUUUUCUCCUCCUUUCUUCACACCUUGACCAAGCACCACAAAUCUCCUUCUCCCGCAAAUCCCUACCCCCACUACCUCGCACAUUAGUUUAUCCAAAUGAGGUUCACUGUCUAAUAAUCUCCUUCAUAUUCGAGUGAAGAGUACUUACCUAGAUCCAAACACAAUGUAAUUGAAGAAAACAAUAUAAAUAAUAAUAAUAAUAAUAGUAAUAGUAUUAUUAUUAUUAUUGAAAUUGACAUAUUUAUACAAAAUUACUCAUUUUAUACUAAAUCAUCUUUUUUAUUUUUGAAAAUAUUUUCUUUUACUUUCUUAUUUUAUUUUUUUUCAACUAUACUACUAUCACUACAAGAAAAAUGAUUUUUAAUAGGGGUUAUAAGUGUAUUAUCUACGAUUUACUUUUUUCCCGGGAAGAUCCAGCGUCGCUAUUUUCGACGGUUUUGGAAACCCUUAUUAUUUUCGACGGUUUUGGAAACCCUCGCUAUUUUUGGUGGUUUUGAAAACCCCCGUUAUUUACAGUAGUUCUAAAAGCAUCCAUUAUUUCCGACGGUUUUGAAAAUCCCCAUUAUUUUCUACCGAUUUGAAAACCCAUUAUUUCCAACUGUUUCUAAAUAUUUGUUACUUCUAACGAUUUCUAAAUUACUUUCAGCAAUUUCAUUACCCCAUUAAUUUUAUUUGUUAUUUUUUUAAUUGGUUGUAUUUUGAUAAUGUAUAUAAAUUCAUUAUAAUCAUCUUGUUAAUUUCAUCUUAUUUGUUUAAUAGGUGAUACAUAAUGAUAAAAGUAAAAAAAAAAAUUAAAAAAAAAUUGUUAUGGAUUUUAGCUUCAUAUUCUUGUUUUUUAGUCAUCAUUCUCCUUCACAAUAAACGGUCGAAAAGAGAAAUUAAUGCAUAUAUGUUUCCUCGAUUUAAUUAUUUUGCAGGAGUUAUUAGUUAUUGGUUAUAACAGCACUCUGGAACACACCAUAAAAAAUACAAAAAUUAUACAACAAACUAGUUAGGGUAACCUCAUCAUUGUGGAAGUGUUAGAGUUAAUUAUUAGAAAUCUAGAAAAAAAAAGGCUAACUCUAAAAGUAGUGUCCAGCUCAAGAAAAGAUGGUAUAUUUGAAGAUAGACAGACUAAUUAUAAAAAAAAUCUUCCAAGGAACUUUCUUUAUGCGUCAUCAUUAAAUUAUAAAUUGUGUGAUAUAACGUGGUUGAUUUUUAUAAUAAUUUUGUUAAAUAUUAUAAUAAAAUCAUUUUUAGAUAAACUUUUUUUUAUAUAAAUGAUUAUUGAAAACAAAAAUUAAUAAUUUUGUUUAUUUAGAUUUAACUAUGUUUUUAUCCCUAAAAUAUGAAUUUUCUUUUGGUAUCUUAAAAUCUCCUAAAAAUAUAUAUUUUUUCAUUUAUUUUGUGAAAAAAAAAUUCAUUCUCUGAAAUUUUCCUUGAAAUAUUUUUUAAAUAAAAUAUUUGGUGUUGGAAUAAAAUUUUAUCACAUGUUUUUUCAUUAAAUAAUGACAUGUCAAACAGAGUCAAUAUAACAAAGAUGAAAUACACAAUAAAAAAAUUAGGAACUAGAAAAAGAAGAAAUAAAUUUAUAGGAUCAAAAGAAAAAGUUAAACUGCUAAAAAAAAUAUUUAUUUUUUUAUAAACUGAAUUUAAUUUAUGUAUAGAGUAAAGUUUUAUAAUUUAUAGUUUAUGUAAAAACUAAAGUGUGUAUAUAUAUAAAUAUUUAUUGUAAGGAUUGAGAAAAAAUAGUAUUAGAGUAGAAGUGGUACAAUUAAAAUGACACCUGAAUAGUUUAUUAUUAAAUUUAAAAGAGCAUAUAAAUAGAAUUUCAGUUAUUCAGUUUUCAUUUUAAAAAGAACCACCAUCUCUCUAGAAAGUUCUUUUUCCUUUCCUCUCCCUUUUCUCUAAGAUUUUGACUUCCUCGCUCAUCAGUUCGACGAUUGAAGUCCACCAUCAGACUCCUGGUAGUGAAUACUACAAGACUGUCCGAUUAGAAUCUCUGAUAGAGUAAGUUCACUUUUGCUCUUCUCUUUAAGUCAAAUUUUGAACUUGUUAGGUUGUUUUUGUUUUUGCUUUGCAUGUGAUCAUUUUAGCUUCAGGGUUAAUCUCUGUUAGCUUAGGGUCCUAGUGAUAUAGUUAGAUAUUUUAUUAGGACUCUGUGAUGCAGGUUAUGUUACCUUUAAGUUCUUGGUAGAUUUGGAGCUCUUAGUGAGCAUCGACUAAAUUUCAGGUAAGGGAAGCUAACCUUAAUUUCCAAUAGAACACUAGGCUAGAAGAUCUGCAUGUGGGGGUGAUGUGGUCACCAGUCUCAAACUUUCUUCCAGAAUUGCUUGUUUUAAGUAUAUUAGAAAUUGACUGAGAUUUGAAUGUGAAAUUUGGUAUAUGGUUGCUGUCAUAAAAUUGUAAUGUUGUAGAUUAUUGGUUGUUUGAUGUUGAUUGAGAGAAAUUUUCAGCUAUAGCAUGAACUUGUUAUUUUUGGGUGCACCCUGGUGUCAUUUAGAUCAAACUAAAUUAUUUUCGAUCAAUCCAAAAGUACUGGGUGCACUCUGGUGUCAUUUAGAUCAAACUAAAUUAUUUUCGAUCAAUCUAAAAGUACUGGGUGCACUCUAGUGUCAUUUAGAUCAAACUAAAAUAUUUUCGAUCAAUCCAAAAGUAUUGGGUGCACUCUGGUAAUUUUCAGGAAAGGAAAUACCGUGUUGAGAUUGUUGUUAGGUUGUAUUGAUCUGUCAGGCCCGUAAUGAGACAUCCUGACUCUACUGAUAUAAUGGAAUUACAUAGAUGAAGUUAUUCAGUUGAUGAGAGUCGAUGGAGGUUCAUAUGACUUUGUUUGGAGUUUGAAAUAUAAUUUGGUCUUUCAGGUCAUAUGAAUUUACCCUGUCAUACGAGAUGAUGAGAUAUUGAGAUGUUUAUGUGCAUGGUUGUGUGGAUUCACAACGAGUAGUAUGACAGGUGCAAGUCUCAGAAUUCUAAUUUCAAUACACGAGUCUUCCGGAAGUAGAGUCAAGUGUCUAGGUGAUAUGAGUCCGUGGAAGUCUGACAUGUGAAAGAUGAAUAUUGAAUUUUUAUAAACACUUGAUGAUUUGAGAAAUUGUAUGAAACUUAAUGAUUUAUGUUUAUUAAUUUCAAAUUGAAAUUAUAUAGAAUUUUGUUUUAUAUAGCUAGAUUACCCUGUUAUUUGUUUGUGUUGUUUCUCUAUCUGUGAUGAUCGUGUAUUUACACGGGAGCAGAUGAUGUUACAGGUGAUUGAGCUCUUCCUCAGUGAGAAGCUGAAUGAUGAAUUUUGAAUAUUUGUUUUAAUUUUAUGUAGAUAUAUGUUUCGUAACAUUUUAAGAAAGAGUGGUGGACAUAAUUGUAUUAUGUUUAUAUAUUUUUUUUAAUAUUUUAUACAGAUUUUAAUUUUUAGAUGUGGAAAAAUACAGGAAUGUUACAUUAUAACACUUAAAAAAAUGAUUUUUUUCAUUAGUUGAUAGGAUAAAAUUUGGGAGUGAUUGUUGAUAUGAAUAUUAAACUCUUAAAAAGCCUUGUUAAAACAAUUAAUGAUAUAUUCGAUAAUGGCAAUAGUGAAAAAACAUUGCAGUGGUCUGAUCAAAAUUUACAUUUUAUGAAGAAUGUGUCCUACAUUGAUUCUUGGAAAUGGAAAAUUCAAGAAAGAAAACUUCUACUCAUACACUGACUUUAGUUAUAAAAUUAAGUUCAGUUGAAACAAAAUUAACAGUAACUUUUAUAUUUAUAUUUGAAUUAAGAUUAAAAGAGGGAGAUGAUGUAUAUAAGAAGAAAAAAGUUUACAACAUUAAAGCGGUUCAGAUAUGAUGAGAAGGAUGGUACGAUGGUCUACCACAAAACUUGACCCACGAGUUUCAUAUCUGAUACUGUUCCAUUUCUUUUUUUACAAGUCAAAGUUGCUCCAGUAAUAGUAUUAGAAUUUAUUUUAAAGUGUUAGCACAUUCAACAUAUUAAAGUAUUCACAAACUAAAAAUCACCACUACAUCUACUAUGAAAUACUUUCAUAACAAAAUCAUAUUAUAACGUACCUUAUUCAGAAAGCUUCCAGAGUAAAACCAAAUGUCAAUUUUCUUAGAUAAAUUUUGGCAUCUAGAGCUCCUAGCAAAUUGAUGAACAGAUAUAGAGUAAAUUUUCAUGCAUGAGGAUUAGGGGUACAAUUGUUAUUUACAGUAUGUCAUUGGAGUGGAAAACACACACAAAAAAGGUCAAAGAUAUUUUAGAAAAAAUGUUUGAAUUAACCUUAGGCUUGAAUAGAGUUUUCAAUUUCCAUAUUGAUUGAUGAAUCAAUAGAUCAAUUGUCAGGAGCUCCUAAGACUUCUUCUGCCCCUGCUAGAUACUGCAUAUUUUAAGAGUUUCAUUAUAGAGUUACAAUUGAAAUGAGGAAUAUAUAAGCAAAAAAAUGCAUAUUAUUACUGCAGUGGAAAUGGGGAAUGUCACUGGCAUGAUUACCAUUAUGUUGCUGCGUGUGAAUGUGCAGAGAACAAGCAGGAUAAAUGAGCAACAAAAUUUAAUGGAUCUACUACAACUUGCUUAAUUUAAUUCGCCAUAAAAGAGCAUUAAAUUGAUGAGAAAUAUAAUUUGAAAAAUUGAAAUGAAAAGUGUUGAAAAUGAAGCUUUGAUGUCUCCAAAUUUGUGAAGAGAACUUGAUGCCUGUGCUGCUGUGUUUGGGGCUUAGUUCUAGGUAGUUCAGAAUUUGUAAAAUUCAUUCUUAAUCCAAAGCACAACUGAAUCAAUCUGGUUUUGAAAAUGAAAAGUGUUUUUCUAAAUUAAGUGAAAAACAAUCGAUUGAUUUCUCGGUUUAGUCCGUUGUUUUGCACCCAGUCUGUUUGGAGGGUUUUCAAAUUGUUUUUGACUUGGUUAACUAACUGUUUAAACCAAUUCAACCGGUAAAAACAACAUUUCAAUCGAUUGAUUUUUGAAUUUCUUUUAACAGUUUUUCAAAAAGUUGUUAAACUUGUUUUCAUUUGAUUUCAAACUGUUUUGACUCGUGUUUAACUUCCUAAAAUGGCUAGUUUGAAGAGUUAUAAAACUUGGUUACCUUCCAUAUUUGAAGACAAAAAAAAAGAUAUUAAAAAACUAUUUUGAAAAAGAUUUGAUUCAAGUUUUGAUUAGGGAUUUGAAGUUCUUGUGCGAGAACCAAAAAGGAAUUUACUAGUGACUGAGAAAUUGGUGAUGACAAAGAUUUUAAAAAAAUUCUUCUUCAGUGUUUCAGCUUCACGUGCAUUGUGAGUUUCUUAAUGAAGAGUAAUGUGUGUAAAAAAAAUUUCUUUUUAGAAGAUCUUACAGCUGGAGUUUUUUCUUUUAAAAUAAUAAAAUUAAAAAUGUGACUCAUUUUUUAAUGAUUAAUAUUUUUUGGGGUUUCAAAAACCUCUACUAUGUGGUUAAUACGUACUGGGGAUUUUAAAAAAAAUCUAAGAGAGUGCUUAGUAGAGAUUACAGUAACCUCCAUAAUAAACCCCAAUUAAAAUUAUAUUUUCUUGUAUGUAUUAUUGAACAUAGUAUAUUAUAAUUUUAAAAAAUUGUAAAUUUAAAAUAAAAAAAGUAAUACUUUUUAUUGAAAAAUCAUGAAAAAAAGACUAUAGCAAUUUGUUCAUGAGAAGAGAUUUAUAAUAGAAAGAGAUAGAAGAAAGAAAAUACAAUAAUUAAGAAAGAAAUUAAUGAGAAUUAAAUAAAAUUUUAUAUUGCCUAAAUUAAAGGAAGUGAAAACGAAUAAAAAAAAUCUUCCUCCAUUUCUUUCAUCUGAUUUGAAAUAUAAUAAAAUUCCUUUUUCUUGAUGAAGUUCAAAUAAAUAAGGAAAAAUAGAUUAAACUUAUUUUUAGGUGUAUAGAAAUGGAUGAAAAGGAUAAAUAAAAGAGAAAAAUGCUGAGAAAAUAAAGAGGAAAUAUAAAAAAAAAACUACAAAGAGAAAAAAAAAAAAGUGAAAACAAAAGUGAGAGAGAAGUUAAAUAUAAGUUGAUAGGUAAUUGAACAGCAAAUUUACAAAGCAUUUGGUUUCCAUACUCUUCCCACAAUGUUUACAAAACAUUUGGUUUUCCAUACUUAUUUUUAUUGUUUUAAUAUAUACUCACUAGUGUCGGGUUCUCAAUAGUAUCUUCGUAUGCUCGGUUUUUUUUUACCACAAGGUCUGUUCGGUUCUUUUAUGCAGUAAGGGACCUGCUCGAUGCUUGGACCUAAGCAAACCUGGGCCAACGACCUUGGUCAGGAUGGGCCUAGAUCGCAUGAGAGGUAGCCAAAGUAAUUCCACUAGUGCACCCCUUAAAAGUUAUAUUUGGGUGGUAGAUAUAAUUUUGUUAUUAUUAUUAAUAUGUGGCAAUAUUUUACUGUUACGUAUCUGUUGCAUGUUUCUGUCGCAUAUCUGUUGCACGUGGCUAGUUGCUAUUAAUCCUAGUAAUAUAGGGAGCCGCUUGGGUAACAGAAAGUGGGCUUGCGGAUAGCACAUGAAGAUCAUUGGUGCCCGUGGCAAGCAGUUUUCCGUUACCAAUAAAAGUUUAAUGUAAUUAUUUUCAGUUAAGAUUCGUUGAGCUCAAGAGAUAGUGGUUGCAUGUUGCAUGAGUAGUCUCAAAGAAAAGGUACGCUGUUUUUCGCACAUCUUACUAAACUGUUACUUUUCGGUGAGCCCUAACUGACUUGAUCGUCGGAGUGUCAUCAACAGGUAGGGCACCCUCUGUCCCAACAGAACCAUACUAGAAGCAGUUAAGAGAGACGUUGAAGAAGUUGCGUUCAUCCUAGGUCAACUGGCAGUGCAGUCAACCGACAAGAACAAUUCAAAUUAUUGUCUAAUAUUUAUUUUAAGGUUUAGGGAAGAAGGGUCGACUAGGGAAGUCUUGUUGGUAAACACCCGAGUAGGGAGGAGCCACCAUUUGCUGACUCGAGAAACGUUAAAGGUACCACGGGUUGGAGCAUGCGCGGUGCUCGGGGAGGAGGUGGUGACCGUCUCCUCGGGGAGAGCUGCUGACACUUGGAUCACCCCUUACCAGUGAUAUCUAGCUGACGGCCUACUUCCUGAUGAACCUGCAGAGAGAAAAGUGGUGAAAAGAAAUUCGAGGAAAUACACGAUGAUUGAUGGUAAUCUAUUUCGCCAUGGGUACACUCGCCCUGUUCUUAUUUGCAUUUACGGCAAGCAGUGCGCCCGUGUGAUGAGCGAGCUACAUGAGGGCAUCUGUUGAAGCCAUGUUGGGGGUCGAGCGCUGGUGUUAAAAAUCAUACGUGCUGGGUAUUAUUGGCCGACGAUGAAAUAAGACUGCGGGAGUUACGUACAGCGGUGUGAGCAGUGCCAGAAACACGCCGACUGGCACCACACACCAAAUGGAUGCCAUACGACAAAUGAAGUACCUUGUGGUGGUCAUCGAAUACUUCACCAAGUGGAUUGAAGCUGAGCUUGUUGCCCAAAUCACCGCACACAAAGUACAGCACUUCGUGUGGAAGAACAUAGUAUGUCGCUUUGGGGUUCCCAGAUGUCUGGUGUCAGACAACGGAACGCAGUUCGGCAAUCAACAGUUAGGCAAGUUAUGCUCGGAACUCGGCAUAAAACAGUAUUUGCCUCAGUAGAGCAUCUUCAGACAAAUGGCAAUAUGGAAUCAGCCAAUAAAGUCUUGCUCAAAGGCUUGAAAAGAAGGUUAGAGAAAAUCAAGGGAGCUUGGACGGAGGAGGUUCCCCGGAUUCUUUGGGCUUAUCACACCACGCCACAAUCCAGCACCAAAGAAACACCGUUCAGUUCGGUGUAUGGAACGGACAAUAUGAUUCCCGUUGAAAUUCACGAGAGCUCUCCCCGGUUCCAGAACUUUGUCGCUGAAGAGUCUGAUGAGGGGAGGAGAAUGAACUUGGAUUUGCUAGAGGAAGUCCGCGAACAGGCGCGUAUAAAAUCAGAAGCAUUGAAAAGAAGAGUUGAACUGAGAUAAAGAACCAAGGUCAGACCUCGACAGUGUUAAAGAUGUGAAGCUUUAAUGUAUCAAAUCCUCAUGAAGCCUGAAGUUGUGUGUGUUUUAGGUUUAAUUUUUGUUAUGGGGUUUAGAAUCUUUGUAAGAUCAAUCUUGUUUCUCAAACAAAGCUUAUUUCAAUCUGUUUUAAAGAUUAAAGUGUUUUUCCAUGCAAAGGGAAAAACAACCGAUUAAAGUUUCGAGACAAUCGGUUGUUUGUCACUUAGCUGGCAAAGAAGUUUUGAAACUGUGUUUUUGAAUCAGUUGUAUAACUACCAAAACCAUUCAACCAGUUAAAUCGCAGUUUUAACCGAUUAAAUGUAAGUUUUCAUAAUAGUUUUUUGAAAACCUGUUUUAACUGAUUCAGUUGUUCAAAUAUGCUUUCAAUGGUAGCUUGUCAAGGUUUAUAAAAAUUGUCCUCUUUCAAACAUUUAGGAUUGAUGAACAAGAGAAGUUUUAUACUCUGAUUUGAGAUUGAUUAGAGAGAUUACCAACUAUUUGUGAAAAGGUGUUUUUCCAAGUUUAGCAAGAUUGCUUUUGGGCUUUGCUGUGAUUCAAGAACUGAUCCAAGUGUUUUCUACCCUUGUUUAGCUUCUUGUAAUUGUUUAUAUUACACUUUGUAAAAACUAUUGUAAAAUCCUGUAAAGUCAGUGUGAUUCUGGCUUGAGGCGUUGGCUGUGUGCAAAGAGGAUGAGUAGGCUUUGUGGGAUUCAAAGUCACCUCUUUGUGGUGUGUGUUUGUAAUAUGUGAUUGGUAACAUAGUGAAAUACUCAGUGGUUUGACUGAGGACUAGAUGUAUCUCUGGAAUUGAGUGAACCAGUAUAAACCUCGUGUGUAAUUCUUUCUAUCUCUUCUCUCCAUAACUGUUUGAUUUUUUCCGCUGUCAUAAACAACCGGUUAAAUCGUCAUUUUAACCAAUUAUAAUUCUGAUAUCUGUUUUUGUUUGUCCAUUUGAUUGACUUUUUGAAUUGCUUUUCUAAGUUGAUUGUUAAAGAUUCAUUCUAAGGAAAGUAUUUGUGAAAAUCUUUUAUAAACAAUUCACCCCCCUCUUGUUCUAGCCAUCAAUCCUAACAGACAGUUCCAGGUAUCCGACUUGGUAAUGCGGAAAGUUCAUCCCUACCAAUUGGAGGAUAAGUUGUCUCCAAAAUGGACAGGGUCGUUUCGUGUGGGAAAAGUGGUCAGGAAUGGUGCAUAUAAGUUAGAAACCUUGGAGGAGGACCCAUCCAACAAACGUGGAACGCUGCUAAUUUUAGUUAAUUGUUGUUAAACAAAAUGGUGCUACAGGGUGACACUGUUUUUCCCUUAAAGAGGGUUUUUUAACGAGGUCACCUAAUAAAUAAGUUGUUUAUGAUGCAUUGUUGUUUUCUCUUAAUCCCUGUUGUUCGAUUGUGAUGCACAGUGCGAUGACCCCUCUCGGAGAGGUUCUCUGAGAAAGGGUCGUGUGAGCGAUUAAUUACCAUUGGCAGAUAAAUCGACCUUCCUUGUGAAGUCGCACUGUGGGUAAAAGUUGCGUAGAUGCCUCAUCCGGACAAGCACGAGUUAGGCCAACCCGGUGUGAAAGUGAUCACUCGGGACUAGGUGCUCUGUAGGAUGAGUAAAGUUGCACAAAUAGGUCACCUAACCUAGCGCGAGGUAAGACGGGCUAGCCCGGAGUGAAAGAAAUCACCCGGGUCUAGGCGCUCUGUGGGGUAGGUGAAGGAUGAGCUAGUCCGAUGUGUAAGAAAAACUUGAGUAUAGACACUAAGUGGGAGGAGCUGGUGGCACAAGUGAAUGAUGCGAUUAGUGUAGGACAACUCAGGAGUUUCCAAUCACUCAAGUGCAAGUGCUCUGUGAGAAUGAUAUUUGGCUGUAUAGCUCAAUCGUUUGAGCACGUGCCAGGCAAGGCGACACUUGUUGGAUUCGAUGUAAGACGCUUUUGAACGCACUACUUUGAACGCUAGCCCGUAGAGACUAUGGUGAAUAGUUCAACCAAAGGUUAGUUUCGUUAAACUUUGAUUAUGCUUAUUGUCCCAUGUCGAGAAGAGUCGGCACUGACAACGCAAUUGAUUGAGUAAUAUACUCAGAUAGGUACACGUUAUCGUAAGCUAUUUGAACUAGUUAAAGUUAAAUAAGGCAUGCAUGGGCAAAGUUCGAAAGGUUUGUUAUAUACGACACAUGAUCAAAUAAAAUGGUUCCUUAAUGGUAAUAAAGAUAAAGUAGGAUAUAGUUUAUAGUUACAUUAACAUAAUAAGAUUAAAAUUCCUACUCCUCUACUAGUUGCCCGUCCACGACCUUUUUGUUUGGUGCUAGCUAAGAGAAGUCCAAGCUCGGGUGGAGGCUGGAGGCUUGCUCAACAACAACCUCAAAGCCCACCAAGAGAGCUUAAGCAGCCUCACCCUUAUAGACUUCGACCUCAUCAGCAAAGAACUUAUCCUUCUGGACAAGCUCUUGUUGCAAUCGUGACAAACGCUCGUCUUGCUCGGCUAGGCGAGACACCUGCUUAACGACCUCCUUAGUCUUGGCCUCCAAGAGUUGCUGAUUUUCAGGUGAAGGGCUCAGAGUUUUUGGAUUUCCUGUUCCAGGUUCGCCAUUCUCUGUUGGGAGUCCUGUUUGUCUUGUUCGAUGGCAACCUCUUGACGCUGCAUUUUCUUCACGACCACACAGCUUGUGGCUAGAGCCUAUCCGAACUGCUUCACAACCUCUUACAGCAGAUGUUGGCUGCUAUGGGCAUCCAUUCUCUCCUCGUCCUCAGGGCGCAAGAGAGCAUCCUCUAGGAGGGAGGUAACUUCAACACCCUGGUCCCAAAGGUCUUUUCGCCUUGAACUCUCCACACCCACCUCAAGAGGGCAUGGCAUGGCAACAGGGGUAUGCAGAGGUUGUGAUGGAGGCGCAACGUUUGAGGCCACCUGGCCUCGGGAGGGUGUGGGCCUCGGGCUAGUGGCUUGAGCCCUCCCACACUUUCUAGUAAAGACGAAGCCCGAAGCGGUGUCUUCAUCAUCUUCAGAGGAGGUGGGCACAACCACCACCUUCGAUGGAGCACGACUGACCAUCUUUGCCUUUGCGGGCAGCCUCAGCAGGUCCUCUUUGUUCAAGCGGGCCAACAUGCUAUCUGCAGGAAAGACUAAAGCAAGAAUAUGUUAUGCUUCACAAGUAAUAAAUCCUAAUCUCUGAAGUUAGAGGAAAAAGGUAUACCAGUGUAACUCUUUAGAGAGUUCGGGUCAUACUCGUGGGCCAACAGAUAGACCGUAUCAAAGACAAUAGGGAAGCUUGUGAUCGGCAAGGGCUAACUUCUCUAAACACCAGGUAAGCUUCGAGUUGGGAUUCUCGGUCUAGUAUAAAGGAAACUCGUCCAAGAGAUCAGGGUGUUUUUGGUUAGCUCGGAUGUUCAGAAAAUGGUCUUUGAAGUUUUUGUAAGAGGAUUGGAAGAGGGUAAGGAUUCCCCUUCCAGGGAUGCUGUUUACUGAAACCCAGAGCUGAUGCUGUAGCUUAUUCACCUCGAAGAGGUAAAGAAACACAUCGAGAAAAGGAAGGACGCUGAGCUGAUUGCAAAGAAUGCAAAAGCACGGACAAAUGCCCAACUCUUAGGGUGCAAUUGGGUUGGGGCUACGUUCAGCUCGGUCAAAAGUUCUUUCUCAAAAACUAACAGGGGAAGACAGAGGUGUAUUCUUUGAAAACCAGUGGCGUAAACGUAACGAAAAGGCUUACCCGGGGACGUGGCUUCAUCACAACAUACGGGUUCAUCGGGUGAGCAUGGGUCUAGGAAAAUCCAAUCGUCUUCCUGAUAUGAUUCCAAUAACAAGAUAGAGAUGUUUCAUAGUCAUUAUAUGGAAUCAAAUUGAGUUGGAAUAUGAUUAGGCACUUUUCAAGAAUUGGAUCAAUGUUCUUAAUAUUCAAGAACUGACCAAAACACAAGUAACCAAGACAAACUCAUGUAGAAACCCAUUUUUUGACAAAUGAACCGAUUGAAAUGCACAAGAAAGCAAAGGAAGCGAUUAAAACUAACUAGAAAUCAAUUGAACCGAACAAAACCAUGAAAGAAAACAUUUGAACCGAUUAAAGCAGUAAAGAAAUGAGAUGAACCGAUUAAAACAAGAUAAGAACCAAAAGAUCCGAACAAAAGUGCAAGAAAAGCCUAAGACAUGUUUAUAGAGUUUAUAAGGACAUGGAAAUGGAUGAAUAAGAUGGAAAAGAGAAGGAAACUUAUGUGGUUGGAGUUCUUGGAGAUGAACACGCCACUUGAAGGAUGUUAGGCUUCAAGAUGAGUGUAGAUGUCGCCACUUGAGGUUCCAAGAUGCACUCAAGAUAAGACUAGAAGAGGAGAAGACAAAUCUCACUCACUCAAUCACCAAUUUGGGAGAGUUUCGGUAGUUAUCAAAUCAAUUCUCUCUAUUUAGAAGGACCCAAGCCCUCCUUAUAUAGGAAGAGGACCGGUCAUGAAGUACAUGAAGCUUACACAAGAAGCUAUCCAAAAGGUCCCUUGCACAUCUCUCACUUUCUAGCGCCUAAAGUGAGUGAUAAAGGGUCAAUCUACUAGAAAGUUCUAAAACUAAUAUCUAAAGAUGAUUUGACAUAAGAGCUAUCUUUAGGUUUCCCUUUUAGCACCUUUCCUAAAACUAUAUUUAAGCAUUAUUUACAAAUUGAAAGAAACUAUAAAGAGAGAUAUUAAUUGAAGCUCAUUCUUGAAAGCUUGUAGUCUUCUUUGGCUUUAAGCUUGGUCCUCUCUUUAUUUAAUUCUUCUUUAAUUUUUGAGAAGACUAGAAAGAAGAACUUCAAAUGUGUGGGUGAAUGACCUCUUCCUCCAUUGGUAGAAUCCUCUCUUAUUUGAUCUCUAUCACUUUCCUACCAAAGAGGCAUAUUUUUUUUCCUAAGGGCCACUAUUUUUUCAUGAGAGGUGUAUGAGGAGGUUUCAGAAAGGAGGUUCGGGGGAGCCCAGGGAUACAAGGUUUUAUAAUCCAUAAGGGCUCGCGACUAGGCACAGUCACACGUAGAAGCAAAACAGUUCAAACCCAACACAAUGCAAAAAUAAGUUUGAAUUCGAACAAAAGAAAAGGAAAAUAAAACCUAGCUAUGUAUUUCGGGGAUCAUAUGAUUACACGCUAACAGGCAGUGUUGAGCAUAAACCAGACAUAGAUGAAAAUAGAGUAAUCUCAGGCAAAGCAGACAAAGGAUGAAUAAUUGGGAGGGGAAAAAAAGAGUACCUUUCGUGAUUGAUCAAGGAAAGCUCGAAGAAAUGGGUGGAAGAUUGUUGAACGAGGCAAGGGAGUAAGAGAAAAAGCUCUAAAUAAUGAAUAAUGGAAGAUGAAGUUUUAGGGGUUUUAGAAUUUUUGGAAAAGGAAUUCUAAACGGUUGAGUUUCGUUACCAUUAGCACUGGAACACGUGUACAAGUGGGGACUGUGAACAGUAAAACUUUGCUUCAAAAAUCGCGCUCACCUACCUCUGAGAAACCGUCACGUCAACGAUCAACGGUGCUCGGAAGACUCUUCGCUCAGCCAAGCUCAGCUCGAGCCUGAGGUGCUUGUGUACUAAUCAGUGCCCGGUUCUCGAUAGUAUCUUCGUAUGCUCGAUUCUUUUGUACCACGAGGCCUGCUUGGUUCUUUUACGUCGUAAGGGACCUACUCGGUGCUUGGGCCUAAGCAACCCUGGGCCAACGACCUUGGUCAGGAUGGGCCUAGAUCGCAUGAGAGGUAUUCAAAGUAAUUCCACUAAUGCACCCCUUAAAAGUUAUAUUUGGGUGGUAGAUAUAAUUUUGUUAUUAUUAUUAAUAUGUGGCAAUAUUUUAUUGUUACGUAUCUGUUGCAUGUUUAUGUUGCAUAUCUGUUGCACGUGGCUAGUUGCUAUUAACCCUAGUAAUAUAAGGUGCCGCUUGGGUAACAGAAAGUGAGUUUGCGGAUAGCACCUGAAGAUCAUUGGUGCCCGUGGCAGACAGUUUUCAGUUACCAAUAAAAGUUUAAUGUAAUUAUUUUCAGUUAUCGCUGAACUCCACAGAGAGUGGUUGCAUGUUGCAUGAGCAGUGAUAAAAAGGAGAAUAGGUCUCCAAGAAAAUGUACGCUGUUUUUAGCACAUCUUACUAAACUGUUACUUUUCGGUGAAUUCUAGCUGACUUGAUCGUCGGAGUGUCAUCAACAGGUAGGGCGUCAUCUGUCCCAACAGAAUCAUACUAGAAAUAGUUAAGAGAGACGUUGAAAAAGCUGCAUUCAUCCUAGGUCAACUAUGGCAAGAACAAUUCUAAUAUUUAUUUUAGGGAUCAUAUUUUUUUUAAAUACUACAUUGUGUCACUAUAUCAAAUAACAUUGGUGUGUAGACAUUAGUGGGUGAUCAUUUAAAUCAAAAACAGUUAACAGUUAGGGUCAUAUAGUCCGCUUCACUCACUUCACUUUUACUUCCUUCUCCCUUUCCUUCUUCUAUAUAAACCCCACACCCUGCAACCUUCUCACUCACCAACUCAACCAACAACUCAAUCAAGUCCUCCCAAACCCUAAACCAAAUCCCAUUUCUUCAAUUCGCCAUCCCUUGAGUUGUUUCCAUGGCCACCCUCAACUCUGCGUGCGUCGUUGCCGUGCUGUGCUUGGUGGUGCUGACGGCACCCACUGCACAUGCCGCCAUCUCCUGCGGCCAGGUCACAAGUUCCCUGGCUUCAUGCAUCCCUUUCCUCACGAAAGGUGGGCCGGUGCCAGCGUCAUGCUGCUCCGGAGUGAGGUCCCUCAACGCCGCCGCAAAGACCACCCCAGACCGCCAGGCGGUCUGCAACUGCCUGAAAUCCGCCGCCGGUGCCAUCCCUGGAUUCAAUGCUAACAACGCAGGCAUACUCCCGGGCAAGUGUGGCGUCAGCAUCCCCUACAAGAUCAGUACCUCCACCAACUGCGCUACGUAAGAGAAAAACAAAAUUUAUCGUUCAAACUUUUUUAUAUAGUUUUCUAAAUUUUUAUUCUAUACAUAAAUUAAAAUUAGUUUAUAAAUAAAUUAUUAUAUUUUUUUAGUAUUUUUAUUUUUCAAACAUAAACCUGAUACACUUAGUUGAAUCUUAUCUAUUUUUUUAGUAAACUGAAAAAGAAUAAACUUAUUGUGAAGUAAAAAGUAGUUGAUAGAUAAAAGUACGUUGAUCUCAAAUAAUUUUCAAACAGAUUAAGAGAAAAUAAAUUUAGUUCUGGUUUUAAUUUUUAAGUAACUGUCACUAGAACAAUUAUUAAAUUAUUAUUGCAUAAAAAUUGUAAAAAUGUUUUGUAACAUUUUUUUUUUCAUUUUCAAUGAUUUAAAGGUUAUUUAAAGAUAAAAUGUAACAAAACUAAACAAAAUCAGACCAAAAUUAAAUUUCUAACCGGUUUUGAUAUGAAAGGGGAGUUUGAAAGAAAACUAUAAAAUAUGUGAUAUGAAAAGAAAUAGAAAAAUAUGGAAGAAGACAGAUGCAAUAAAUGAGAAAGUAGAUGUAUCAUUAUAUAGUUAUCCAUAAAAAGAAAUUCUAAAUUCAAUUAUAAAUUUUCUUUUAUAAAUUUGAAUCUGCGAUGGAAAUAAGUUGUGUUUGAAGUGAGAUUAAUUCAUCAUAAUAUACUACAUUAAUGUAAUAUAAAGUUAGAUAUUUUGAUUUGAGAUUCAUUAUUAUGAUUUAUUUCUUGAUUGCACUUGCAGUAUCAAGUUUUGAAGAAGAAGGCACUGGAAACUACUCAGUAUAGAAUGAGUAUAUAUCCUGAAUACUACAAGAAUAAGACAAAAGGUGACGAGGGCUCCACUUAUAUGCCCCUCUAAUCUUCAAAUGAGAUAUUUUAUUUGUAUUGAAGAGGUUUUAAUAUGUUGUAAUGUUAUUUACUCCUAUAUCUACUUUAAAUUGGGUUUCUCACCACUUUGUCUGGGUGCUCAUUUUAGGGUUCAUCAUCAUUUAUCACGUCUCUUUAUGUUGAAAGUCAUUAAAAAGAAACGUACUCGAUUGGUAAUAUAUAAUUGAUUAGAUUAAUUCCAGAAAUUCAUCAUCUUAAUAACCAGUCUUAAAAUGGUAUACACUACAACAAAAUCAUUAAUUAAAAACCUAUAAAAUUAAAAAUAAUUAAUUAUUAUAGUUAAUAAAUUAAAAACUAUUUUAAAGAUUAAAAAAAUUAUUAAUUUUUAAAUUAAUUUUUAUUAUUGAUAAAUAGUUUUUAAAUUGAAUUUAAUUAGCUAUCAAGGUUUUAACUACCAAUUAUUUAAAUUUUAAAUUUGAUAAAAGAAAUUUAGUAACUAAUUAAAUAUCAAUUUAAAAAUUAUUAUCAAUAAUAGAAACUAAUUUAGAAAUUAACAAUUUUUUAGUCUUUAAAAUGAUUUUUAAUUUAAUUAUUAUAAUUAAUUAUUUUUGUUUUUAAAAUUAGUUAUUUUUUAGUGUAUGAUUAGAAAUGUUUGUCUUUCUAAACUUUAAUGGUGAUAAUUAAGGUGGUUAAAGGUCUUUCUCAUAUAUUCGCUAAGCAGCUAGUGGAAUUACUCAAACAUAAAAUCAAUGAAUAGUCAAAAGUUCUAAUUACAGACAUACUUUGCUAAUUUUAAACACUUGCAUUAUUUAAACUUUCAAAAAAGUGUCCCCUUUUAAAAUAUUAGAGAUUAACUAUAAUUCUCUCGAAAAUUAAAAAUAACAAUACAUAUAUUAUUUAUUGAAAUAAUUCCAUAAAAUAACCUUACUCUCAUAUAUAGUAACUUGGCAUGACUUUUAUUUGUCAUAAUUUUAAAAUAAAAUAAUUAAUAUUUAAAACUAAAAACUAAAAAAUAAAUUUAAAAUUUCUUUUCAAACUAAAACUAUAAUUAAUUUGAAACAUGAAAUGUUAUAAUAAUAUUGUAUAUAAAUAUAUAUUGAUCUUUCAUGUAUAUGCAUUUUUAAUGUUCCUGUCCUUCUUUAAACAAUAUAAAGGCCUCAGUUGCAUCAAGAAAAAUAUGAAUUAGUGUCCAAAAAAUUGGUUAAUAAGAAAAAUAUGAAAUAUUGACAAAAAUGUGGUUACUAAGGAAAAUAUAAAAUAUAAAAUAUUGACAAAAAUUUGGUUACUAUUAAAAUAGUAACUAAUUUUGUGACGGAAAAGAAUUAUUACUCUUUUGUUUUAUUUAGUCACUAAAUCUACGACUACAAUAUGUAAUCAAAUUAGUAAUUAAGUACACUAAAAGUUUCACUUUGAGAAUGUUGAAAUUCCAUUUUCUCUAUGUAAAGAAGCAUUAUUAUUUUGUUGUUUUAUUAAAUUUUUCAGUCUCAUCCUUCAUGACCUUCCUUUAUGACCUGGAUAGAUGAAGAUGUAGAGUCAUAAGAUUUUCUCUCAAUUGUUUUGGUUAACUCAAAUCCAAGACCUUAUAUCCUUCCUUUAUUAAUUCCAACAACUUUAUACUUAUUAAAGUUGUAAUUCAUUAGUGGAAACAUUUGUAUAAUAUAUGUUUAUUGGGAUGCUUCUUCCCGUGCUUAAUUAAAUUUUAUUUGUGAACAUAGAAAAGUGGUAAUAAAUUGAAAAAAAUAUAAAAAAGAUAGUAAUGUUGGACAAAUUGACAUGUUAUUUAUGACUAACAUCAACAUGUGUUGAUCUUUAAUCAACCCAUGUGUUGUCCUUCUUCCAUUUGUGUAUAUUACAAAACAAUUGUGAUGGGGUAGGAGGUUUUCGCUCAACUUUGUCUAAGAUAGGAUCAAGAAAAAUAUCAAUUUAGAAAUUACAAUAUAAAAAAAAAAAACAACUUUCUCAACUUAUUUAUGAAGGAAAUAAAGAAGAUUAAAGCAUGAAUACAAAUAACAUUUAUAUUUACUAUAAUGUUUUGUAUUCUUUCCAUAAAAUAAUGCUUAGAAGUAUUCAUAUUUCACAUAAUUUUUUUGAAUAUAGUUUCAAAUUUAAUCACAAAACCAAUAAAGGCAUUGUCUAAAAAUGAUUUUACUUUAUUGAGGAAUUUUGAUUUAUGUUGUUUUUAUAAGUUUUUCUCAAAAGUAUUGACUUCUAGCUUUUUACAAGUAGCUUCCUCACUCUAUCUUUCCAAUCCCCUACCUCAUUUAAUAAAUAUUAUUGUUAUUACUCAUAUUGAGGACCACCCUAUUAUUAUAUGUAUAAACUCUAUUAUAACAUAAUGUUUUUCUAAUCUAUGAGUGCUCAAGUUGUCCAAAUCAAACAGAAUCAAAUUGUAAAAUCAUUUUUUCUCAAGUGAACAAAACUAAAAUGUUAAAAGUGUUCCUAGACCUGUCCAUUUGGCCCAGCCUAUAGGGCUUGGUCCUUACAUACGGUGAAGGCAAAAAUCCCACAUGGCCAAAAUAACCCAUACAAGAGAAAGCCAAUAUGGCCAAAAUGUCACCAAAAGUCCUAUGGGUUAAAGUCAACCUAUGGACCAUUUUUUAAAUUGAAAAACUUAUUUAAAAAUGAAAAUGAACAAAAUACUUAUAAAAAAUAUUUAUACACAUGAAAAUUAUUUAUACAAUCCAAAUACAAACUUAGUAUCAACAAAGACGAGUUGGACUUAGGUUAAGUUAAGUCAGGCUGACAUCAUCUCAAGUUGGUCAACAUAAGCCCAAGUCAGGUCGAGUCCAGCUCACACCGAGACGAAUCAAAUCUAUGUCAGGAUGAGUUAGGCUUACAUUGAGUCCAGGUCAAUUUGAGUCCAAUAUCGGGCAAGUAAGAUCAGACUAAGAUGGCUCGUGUAAGACCAACUUGGGUUGAUGAACAUAUAUUUAUUCACACACAAUAGCCUUAAUCAUAGAUUAUUGGACUAUAAUAAUAAAUAAAUCUAUUGUUUUAAUUAAUAUUCUUGUAAUUGGGUUUAUUUGGGCCUUAAUUAUUAUUUUUGUUAAUUUUUUGUUUUUAGAGUAAAUUAUCCGGACGAAGAAUCUACCUUUGUGAAUGGGCCAAAUAUGCAAAAGUACAAGUUGCUUCUUUGAAUCAAAACAGAAAACAAAUUCUGAGGAGAAGAAAGAGAAAAUAAAAGCUACAAGAUCCCAGAAACAUAAUUGGAAGCAAAUCUUCUGCAAAAUAAAAAGAAUUAUGGAAAGUGGAAACUGUUUACAAAAUCUAAACUGCAAUAUUUUCCCAAGAUCCUUGGAGCAGAAAAGCCUAUAAAAGGACACAAGCAUCAAGUAGAAGAGAGAGCUUCAUAGGGUUUUCUUAGUUUCUUUUCUUCUUUGUAAUUCUUUUGUUUUGCCUCCGCAUGGAAGGCUAAACCUUUUUGGUUGAUUCUUUUGUAAUUCCCUAUUGAGUUCUGAGGUUUUGUCAAUAAAAGUUUCAUUUGUCAAUUCUUUAUAGCAGUUGUUUUUAUUGUCUAAUCUUCUGGAAAACUAGUUUUUGUGAGAGGUUGUACUUGAACGCAUGAUUGAGAGUCUUCCUUAUCUUAAACUUUGGUUUCUUAGUUAGUUCGCAUUGUUCUAAUUAAUUUCUUGGGCGCAUGAUUCAAGAGAGAGGAGAAAAUCAUUCCCAUGGAGUAUACGCAUGGAACAAAGUGAGUAUUGAUUAAACUAGUAGACGCAUGUUUUACUGGUGAGUUUCAGUUGAAUCAGAUUGACGCAUGUUCAAUCUGAUUUAGCUCUGUUGGAGGAUUGAGAAAAGAUUAAUCUUUUGAGAACCUGUGAAGAAUUCAAUGGUGGAAGAACUUGGGGAUCAACCGCUUUUUAUUUUCUAUUUCAAUCUCUUUUAUAUUUUCUGCAUAACUAUCUUAACCCCCUUUUUAUUAUUAUUGUUAUUACUAACUUUUCAUUGCUUAUAGAUAGAUUUUAAAUUCGAUUAACUGAAUCACUAUUGGAUUCGUUGGGAGACGACUUUGGGUCAUCUGACCACAAUUAUACUAUCAUAUAUCUAGUGUUAGACAAGUCUACCCUAGAAUCAUAUUAAUUUGACAACAAAACGACAACUAUCAAAUUUGGCGCCGUUGCCGGGAAAUCCAAUUUGAUUUUGGUUAUCAGGUUCUUCUUUUUAUCUGCAUAAUUUUUUUUUCCUAAUUUUAUUUUCUGCAUAUUUAACCUGUGUUUUAUUCCUAUUAAUUUUUCUUUAUUUAGUAUAGCAAUAAAAAAACGAAAAAAAUCUAAUAUUUAGGAUAUCUCUUAUUUUAUUUUAUUUUGAUUUGUUUUUAUUUUCUUUCUUUAUAUUUUUAUCUUUAUUUUGUUUUGAUUUGUUUUAUUUUCUUUCUUUAUAUCUUUUAUCUUUAUUUUGUUUUGAUUUGUUUUUAUUUUAUUUUAUCUCCUAUAUCUUUUAUCUUUAUUUUGUUUUUGAUUUUAUUCUUUUAUAUCUUUUAUUUUUAUCUUAUUUUGCCUUUAUUUUAUAUCUUUUCUGUUUUUAGUUAUUUUUUUUAUUUUGUUUUGUCAUCUUUAUUUAUUUCUAUUUUGGUUUUUGUUUACAGUUUUUAUUUUCUAUAUUUUAUUUAUUUAUUUUUUUUUUUACAUAAUUUUUUUUCUCUAACUAUUUUUUUAAGCAUUAAGUGUAGCAUUUGCAUUAGUUUUUUUUUAAUAGGAUCUUGCAUUUAGGGUAGACACUUCAGUUACUACUCUUUGAUUUUUUAAUAUUGAAAGCAAUUCAGGGAAGACUCUGGCUAGGAAAGACUUGGUUUCUAAGUUUGUCCACUUGUGACUCACCUCUCUUUCUUGGGAGUUUACUUGGUUUGCUUUUCAAUUUAAAAAAAAAGAGUUUGCUUUAAGGCGUCUAAUAGGUGUUGGUGUCCAUUACAUAUCUCCCUGUUUUCAAUUCUAAAAUGGAACGAAAAUUAGCUGAACAAAUUUACAAUUAUGAUAUUCAUUGUGAGCCAUAUUUGCAGCAAUCUUCAUAGUUUUAUAAACAACUUUUACAGCAAUGUGAACCCUACUUUCAACAGCCUCACAUUAUAAUUCAUAUUAUCAACAAUGUGAGCAGCCUUUGCAGCAAUGUGAACCCUACUUUCAAUCACCUCAACAUUAUAAUUCAUAUUAUCAGCAAUAUGAACAGCCUCUGUAACAAUGUGAGCCUCACUUUCAGCAGCCUCAACAUUAUAAUCCAUAUUGUUAACAGUCUUAUGAGCAACCUCAACAACAACCAUAUUAUCAACAAAACUAUUUUGAUGAAAGUCAAACAUCUUUUCAACCAUUUGUGCAAACUGAUAAUACUCCUCGUAAUCUUGAAGAACCAACUUUAGAGGAGUUGAUGAGGAAAAUGACGGACAUUAACACAAAAUUUCAAGAAUGGGCGGCUGAAAAAUAUCCAAUUCAAAAGGAAGAACCAAGGCAAAUGAGGGAGAUCAACAUGAAAUAUGAUCAAGAAUGGGCGGCCAACAAAAUUGCAAUUCAAAAGGAAGAACCAACUUUAGAGGAGUUGGUGAGGCGGAUGGAGGAGAUGAACAUGAAAUAUGAUCAAGAAUGGAAGGCUAAAAAAAUUCUAAUGCAAAAGGAGGCUGAUGUUGUAGCAAGAAGAGAUAAAAUCGAUCAAAUGAGUGGAGAGGUUGCAGAUUAUGUUCAAGAGAUGAAAUCACCUCAUGAUCCAGAUAUAACUCUUGAUCCAGGCAUUGAUGGAAUGUCUAACCUUGAAGCACCUACCUCUGCCAUAGACACUCUCGAAAAGAAGUGGGGCAUAUCAACUGUUUUUAAAGUUAAUCUGAAUGAUUUGCAUGAAGCUGAGUUGGCUGAACCUAAGAUUGCUACACCAUUGAAUGCUAUUGUCCAACUUAUGGAGGAGAAAUCAUUGAUAAAUCAUGAGGGAUUAAAAGUUGUGACAUGUGAAGAUCAUUUAGUGCAUCACGUAAACACUGAGGAUGAAAAUGUGUUUGAGUUUCUAGGAGAUUUUAACUUCUCUAAUCCAGUUAAAUGUACAGAGGCUGAGAUAAAUGAGUUCUUAGAAUGCACUAACCCUUGUGAUGUAGGUCUUGAUACAAAAAUUGUUGAUGCUGCUAUACUUUUCGAAUCUACUGAAAAAGAUUGUGCACUUAAUGGCUCUGACAAAGUUUUGGAGGAAAUACAAGAAGAGGAAGAGCAGAUGUUACCCAUAUUUCAGGUAGACACUGCUAGAAGAGAAAAACAUGAUAUUAUUCUUACAUCCUUAAAGCUAUAAAGAAUACAACCUCCACUAUUUAAGGUGAAACCCAUAUCACUCAUUCCAUCAUCUCCAUUGGCUACACCUUCUAUCAUAAUUGGAACGUUUGAAAGCAGCCUUUACAGCCACCACCACCUCCUAACUUACAUUUCAUUCCAUCUCCCACCCCAACUAGACCGUCUACCCUAGCUAGACUAUCUAGCCUUAGACCACCACCCUUAGACAAUCCCCAAACAGUUAACCAUAUUAGAUCGUCUAUAUUGAAUAAAUUUACAUCUUCCAUCUAUACUCUGGACAAUACCAUCAUCCAUUCAUGGAAGAAACUGUACCAUUUCACACGCCCUCCAGACCUACCCCAGUUCCAUCCACUAUUUCAAGGCUUCUUCAUUAUAAUGUUUUUGUUACAUAGUUUACCAACGUACUGCAUGCUUUGGUUAGACGCUCCAGCUGAUAGUAUUUCUACACCACUUUGGAUGAAGAGUCUUGGCUUGUACUGUAGAGGGGAUGGUUGAAACAGCUGCAACAGCCACUUCCCUCAAGCUGAAUGAGGGAGUACUUCUUCUCGCACUUUUAUUGUACACAUUUAUUUAUUGAUUUUACAUUGAGGACAAUGUGUGAUUUAAGUGUGGGGGAGGAGAAUCGUAGUUUAGGAUUUAUCUUUUGUUGAUUUAUUUUUGUGUUUUUUGUUUUUCUCUUAUUUGUUUGAAUUUCUUUUUGCUUCUAUUAAAAUAAAUAAGCUUUUUAGGAUUAUCUAAUGGCUGGCAUGUUUUUAAUUCUAGCAAAUCUUGGUUUCUUGAUCUUUGUUGUUUGAAUUUUCUUAAAAAUUGAUAAAUAAGUUGGUUAUGAGAAUUUUUGGGUUGAAUCUUUUGAUAGAAUGUCCCUAGUGAGUUUUUGAGCCUUAAUUAAUAUAUCAUUUAUUUUUUUUUAGUGUGUUUUCACUCAUGUUUACUUAUACUCUAGAACUUAGUUUGAUUCUUUGUUUUACAACUGUGAUUUACGUGCAUGAAUUGAUAUGAUUGAGGCAUUCUUUGUUUAAAUUAACCCACUAGCCAUAUUAGCCUACCUUUAUGAUAAUUCAUUUGUUAGCCCCUUGAGCCUAUAGCCUUUUUUUUUUUAUUUUUAACCCUCAUUACAAGCCUCAAAACAGAAAAGCCAUGUUUGUCCCUACCUUAGAAGAUGAAGGAGAUUUGAAAUUAUUUGGGGAAUAGGUUUUUGAAUAAGUGUGGGGGUAUAUCUUAUUUUCAUAGUUUACCUCUUCAGUUUUAAAGAAAGAAAAAAGAAAAGGGAUAGAAAAAAAGGAAUACAAAAAACAAAAAAAAAAGCAAAGCAAAAAAAA